rnacentral:lncRNA from 1 species
UCUGUGAAGAGAUUGAGAAUGAGGUGGUCUCUUGGGUAACUACCCAAAUCUAAUUUAGAAUUAUUUCAGAUAUGACAUAUUUUAGUAGUGAUUUCUGAACGAGUUCUUACAACUUAAAUAUUCUAAUUCUAUCCACAGUGGGCUUGGCACUCAUUUUCAAUGGCACAUUAACACAUGCCAGGAAUAAUGUGUUGUGCAGUUUGUUUAUACUGAUAGUUACUUUUGAUAUUCACUGAUUAGUACAAAAUACCAUUCUUGUGUGUUAUGAGAACAUCAACUUUCUUGUUGUCUCAUUACCCGACGGAAGUUACAUAUGAGCUAAUACACAGCUCCCUGUAUGAGUCCCACCAAAAUGGCUAUGGGCAAACCACCUGAUUGUGUAAGGCUUAAUUGUUGGAAUAAACAGGAAGCAGUAAUUUAAAUGUUGGGAUUUUGUGGCAAGAUACGCACAAUGAAAACCAAUAAAAUAAUUUUGAUGGGAUAGCCUCUUAUCUAGUGGCGUGUAGCAAUCCACCUCUGUACGCAUAAAAAAGAUUUCUACCCCACGGCUGUAUUUUGUAGUGUUGCUUUAGGUAUUCAUGUUUUGGAGAAAAAUAACUGGUCCUUCAGAUUUAAGGAACCAGAUCUUAUUGAACUAGCAAAAAAAGGAACGAAAAUAGCUUAAAUCACUUUUUGAUUUGUGAAACAUAAAAUGGCCUGUCAGGGAUGAGUGGGCGUGCUGGUUUCAAUGACUUUGCCUGACUUUUCUCUUCUGUGCAGACACAUGUCCUUCACUGAGAAUAUUAAGGAAAUGUCUGUGGUAGAAAAGAAACAGAGGGGUGUGUUCAUGGAACAGAUUUUUAUGUUCGGAGGUUUUUCAAAAAGAUAUUUGACUUGAGCUAAUUAAGGGUAUUUUCCUGUAAAAUAAAAUCAAGCACUAGAAAAAUAAAAUGUCACAUCUGUGCGACACUAGUGUGAGUAACCGAGAACAGCUGAAGAGAAACAAACUGGAGCUGCCCUUACUUGGUCAGGGAUGAGGAGGUGUGGCCUACUCAGAGGAAGCGACACACUGAGGUGGGCUCUGUGGUUUCAGAAGGUCAAGCCAAACCCAAUGUCGCUCUCGGUCUGACACUUGUGAAUCUGGUUUAGAACUCUCGGAUGCUCAUGUCUGAGCCCACACACAUCCCACACAAUACUGAACUAAACAUCCAGAACUGUAGCAAGCCCCAGUUAAAAGCUUUCUUUUAUGAGAUCUGCCACGGUUAUGGUGUCUCUCCACAGCAAUAGAACACUGACUAAGAUACUUUAAAAAAAGAAAAGAAAAGUUUCCCCCUAUAUAGCUCAGACUUACAUUGAACUCAUAGCAAUCCUCCUGUCUCAGCUUCCAAAGUACUAAAAUUAUAGCUGUCCUUUUAGGAAAUGAGCUGAACAUAUGGAAAUGUUCAAAUUCCAGAAGCAAAGAGGCUUUUGCAAAACCACCUUCUCCCUCCUCAUGCAAAGAGUCGCCCCGCUGUAGCUCCAGGCACGUGAUCACCGUUCCUAACAUACAGCCAUAGAAUCAUGUGGGCCCUCUCUGCAUUAGGCAUGUGCAGGACGCAAGGAAGAUGAGGCUGCAUCCUCAGAAUCUACCUCACAUGGGUGAAACUAAAGCAUUUCAAAGGCAGCAGUGUGGCGGUCCCUGUCACUGAUGGAGUUGGCACAGGUCCCUUCUCUGCAAAACCUCCCAUCUGCCUCAAACAUUCUGUCCCCUGGAGACCCACGUCAGCACCUCCAACACCCAUCCCUCUGUUUGACCUCGUACCCUCUCAGGCUUGCAUUCUCAGCAACAGAGCUAGAGAGGUCCCUUUAGAGAAGCACACUGGGCACAUGUUCCUUAGCUUAGACUCGUGCCCUGCUCUUGGAAGAUGCCCAAACCUGUCUCUUUCUAGAGAACAGCACAUAUUAUCAAGUCUACCCAUCACUUACCAUCUCCUACUUGCCCAUGAAGCCACACCAGAGGAUCCCCUGCUUUAGAGAAUGCACCCCAUCGCUUCCUUCCUUUGCCCUUGAACCAAGCCCUCGGAGCUCACUGAAUAUCCAGCUCUGUCUCAGCUUCCAGUGUCGAUCUGAAAUGCUUCAGGAGUGAUCAUGUUCCAAUGCCUCGUAGCACUUGGCUUAUUUCUUCCAGGGACUUCUCGCAAUCAAAAUGCAUGUCUAUAUUGGUCUUUACUGACCAAGAGUUUGGAGGUUUCGCCUAUCUAAUUAAGUCUUUUACACCAGAUUCAGAACAGUGCCUGGCUCAUUAGUAGCAACUCAAGAAAUACUGACGAACUGGCCUACUAUGUGGAGUGAAGAAGCUACGCUCAUGGGCUCCUGCAAAUCAAGUCAGGGCUCAUCAUUGGGAAUUACACUUGAAAACUAAGCAUUGUUUAGAUAGCUGUGCAGUUUGGGGAAAUUUAAGCAUAGAAUUCAAAGCAAGCAGAUCAAGCAAAUCAGCUCUUUUGGGAAAAUGCAGGCUGUCCUUGGGGUGAAAAGGCCAAGCAGACACUAUGCAGCAGAACAGAUGACCUCGUGCUUGCUUUCCAGUUGUUCUGGGGCUGGAUUCUUCCUCUCUUCAGACUGUGUGUUCUCAGAGCCAGAUCAUCAUUCACAGACAGCUGUAACCCUGCCUUUCUAGCAGCCCCAGUUGUACCAGGAUGGCUCCCUGCUUCCUCUCUGAGCUCUGUAGGCAUUAAGGGGCCAUGUACUAACAAAACAGCUAGACUUCUGGUUUGUCAUUCAGCCUGAUUUCCAGGCCAGGGUGCAGGUCACCCAUAUUCCUCAGGGUUGCCCACAGGCAAGACCCCAAGCUUUAAAAUGGGGAGAAUUCAGUGGUGAGUUAGGGUAAUUUUGUAAUCUUUCCAUGAUUACAGAAAGCAGGUACCCAGUGUCCUUACUUUAAUUACAGGUCUUUAUCGCCAACUCUGAGGUCCCUUCCAUGUUCAUAUCCUGAUUUGUACUGAGCCGUGCUGGUCCUCCAUUGACUCCUCUAUGGUGGUUCUCAAGAGCUCAGCCCUGUUAUACUGGCUCCCCUUCUGGGUAUCUGGAUUCUUCCUUUGAUAGCCCAUAUCACCCCAUGUUCUGAUAGGUACUGUUUCCUGAGAGCUUGGGUUUCCCCAAUGCAAGCCCCCCAAAAGACUUCUUGUCACAUUUAACCUGAGAAUAGCAGAAAACGAUUCCAGACUCACCGCUGCCCUUCAACAGGAACUAAACCACACUUCUGACAAAAUAGC